CCUACGGGAGGCAGCAGUGAGGAAUAUUGGUCAAUGGACGCAAGUCUGAACCAGCCAUGCCGCGUGCAGGAAGACGGCUCUAUGAGUUGUAAACUGCUUUUGUACGAGGGUAAACGCAGAUACGCGUACCUGUUUGAAAGUAUCGUACGAAUAAGGAUCGGCUAACUCCGUGCCAGCAGCCGCGGUAAUACGGAGGAUUCAAGCGUUAUCCGGUUUUAUUGGGUUUAAAGGGUGCGUAGGCGGGAGGAUAAGUUAGAGGUGAAAUCCCGAGGCUCAACUUCGGAAUUGCCUCUGAUACUGGUCGGCUAGAGAGUAGUUGCGGUAGGCGGAAUGUAUGGUGUAGCGGUGAAAUGCUUAGAGAUCAUACAGAACCCCGAUUGCGAAGGCAGCUUACCAAGCUACGUCUGACGUUGAGGCACGAAAGCGUGGGGAGCAAACAGGAUUAGAUACCCCGGUAGUC
rnacentral:rRNA from 1 species